rnacentral:rRNA from 1 species
GUAGUUAGCCGGGGCUUCCUCACAGGGUACCGUCACUUCUUCGUCCCCUGCGACAGAGGUUUACAAUCCGAAAACCUUCUUCCCUCACGCGGCGUUGCUGGGUCAGGCUUGCGCCCAUUGCCCAAUAUUCCCCACUGCUGCCUCCCGUAGGAGUCUGGACCGUGUCUCAGUUCCAGUGUGGCCGAUCAGCCUCUCAGCUCGGCUACCCAUCGUCGGCUUGGUGGGCCGUUACCUCACCAACUACCUAAUGGGACGCGAACCCCUCUUGGAGCGAUAAAUCUUUGACCUCAUCCCGAUGUCGGGUCGUGGUCUUAUGCGGUAUUAGCACUUGUUUCCAGGUGUUAUCCCCCACUCCAAGGCAGGUUGUUCACGCGUUACUCACCCGUUCGCCACUAAAAUUAUUGCCUUCCAUCCGAAAACUUCCAACAAUAAUCUCCGUUCGACUUGCAUGUGUUAGGCACGCCGCCAGCGUUCGUCCUGAGCACGAUACAACUACUGA